CAGGAGAAAAUCCGAUUGACCUAUGUUCUGAGGAGGAAGGAGACUCAGGAGAUGAUUCAGAUGAUCAUGAGACAGAAGAAUAUGUUCUAGCUCGGGACAGACAGAGAAGACAUAUCAUACCACCAAAAAGGUAUGAUGACUUCGUGCAUAUGGCUUUGCUAGUCUCUGAAGAGGCUGAUCCACAAGAACCAAAUGAUUUCAAGG
rnacentral:lncRNA from 1 species